rnacentral:lncRNA from 1 species
GGCUGUUGGAGCAACAGCAGGCACUGCAGAGUCUCUAAUAAAUAACCCGCAUUGAUCUCUCAUUUUGUGAUUUAUCUUGGUUUAUUUGCUCUUCGAGCUUUGAUUCACGGCUCCAUGGGGAGAUUUUGGAAAAUCAUUUACCCAUCAGCUGAGGCACACUGACUGUAGCCCAUAAAAGGUCAAGGGGGAACAGACCCAAGAUGGGAAUCUCAGCCGCUGAUCUUUCCAGGGCGAUAACCAGAUUCUGCACACGGUGACCACAGGGAGGAAACAUGGAUAAGUUGUUGCUGUGUCUCCUGGUCAUCGUUAACCUCACUGGUGCUUUUUUCCAAGGAGACACAUACAGAAAGGCCUUUGUGUUCCCCAGAGAAUCAGAUACAUCCUUUGUGACCCUGUUUGCUCCGGUGCAGAAGCCGCUGAAAGCUUUCGCCAUGUGCCUACAAGCCUACACCGCCUCGUCCCGCCCUUAGAGCCUCUUCUCUUACGCCACCAGGGCGCAGCACAAUGAGAUCCUUCUCUUCAGGGAAAAGCUUGGCUUAUACAGCGUACCUGUGGGUGGAUCUGACAUCUACUUCAGGGUUCCUGAGACCUUUUACAAACCAAGGCACUUCUGUGUUACCUGGGAGUCCAGCACGGGGAUUACAGAGCUCUGGGUGGAUGGGAAGCCCAUGGACCACCAGUUCUCAUUGUGUGAUAUAUCUAUUACUUCUCCUCCUUGUCUACCAUCACACAGAGCACUCUUACCUGUGUGCCUCGUCCUUAUAAUGUGAGCUUUCACUUUUUUAAGCCUUUCCUCCGCAUCACUGAUUCAUUUUUCCCUUUGGCAUAUUGGGAUCCUUCCUAUUUCUGAUGCCACUGAAAAU